rnacentral:rRNA from 1 species
UAGGGAAUCUUCGGCAAUGGGGGGAACCCUGACCGAGCAACGCCGCGUGAGUGAAGAAGGUUUUCGGAUCGUAAAGCUCUGUUGUUAAGGAAGAACGAGUGUGAGAAUGGAAAGUUCAUACUGUGACGGUACUUAACCAGAAAGGGACGGCUAACUACGUGCCAGCAGCCGCGGUAAUACGUAGGUCCCGAGCGUUGUCCGGAUUUAUUGGGCGUAAAGCGAGCGCAGGCGGUUAGAUAAGUCUGAAGUUAAAGGCAGUGGCUCAACCAUUGUAGGCUUUGGAAACUGUGUAACUUGAGUGCAGAAGGGGAGAGUGGAAUUCCAUGUGUAGCGGUGAAAUGCGUAGAUAUAUGGAGGAACACCGGUGGCGAAAGCGGCUCUCUGGUCUGUAACUGACGCGGAGGCUCGAAAGCGUGGGGAGCGAACAGG